rnacentral:lncRNA from 1 species
AGGGCCACCUGUGCCCACCGAGGGGGGCCAAUCAGCACAGCCAUCUGCACAGGCGCGCAGGCCGAAGGACGGUGGCUAUUUCAGGGCCUGGCGUCAGUUUCCGUCGCCUGGCGAGGAGGGCUCCAAGCCUCAGCGUGAAUACUUAGACCCCCCCGCCACUGCAUCCUGGAGAGCGAGCGAGUGGGGAAGACGGAGGGGGCUGGGGGAGCUGUGGCACAAGCAGGGCGAGUACGAUGGAGCAGGAGGGAGCUCCACCA